UGCUUCUCCACAUCUCUGCCCCUGCUACUUGUCUGGAUGAAUGUGCUUCUUUAAGUCCUUGGUUGCUGGACUUCCAUACAGCUCAAUUUUCUGACGAAUCUGAGUGAUAUUUGUGUUAUAGUCUAAUUGUAAUUUUUGCUAUGCAUGUGUAAGGAGGGGAAAUGG